GUAACAAGGUCUCCGUUGGUGAACCAGCGGAGGGAUCAUUACUGAGUUUACGCUCUACAACCCUUUGUGAACAUACCUAUAACUGUUGCUUCGGCGGGUAGGGUCUCCGUGACCCUCCCGGCCUCCCGCCCCCGGGCGGGUCGGCGCCCGCCGGAGGAUAACCAAACUCUGAUUUAACGACGUUUCUUCUGAGUGGUACAAGCAAAUAAUCAAAACUUUUAACAACGGAUCUCUUGGUUCUGGCAUCGAUGAAGAACGCAGCGAAAUGCGAUAAGUAAUGUGAAUUGCAGAAUUCAGUGAAUCAUCGAAUCUUUGAACGCACAUUGCGCCCGCCAGCAUUCUGGCGGGCAUGCCUGUUCGAGCGUCAUUUCAACCCUCAAGCUCUGCUUGGUGUUGGGGCCCUACAGCUGAUGUAGGCCCUCAAAGGUAGUGGCGGACCCUCCCGGAGCCUCCUUUGCGUAGUAACUUUACGUCUCGCACUGGGAUCCGGAGGGACUCUUGCCGUAAAACCCCCAAUUUUCCAAAGGUUGACCUCGGAUCAGGUAGGAAUACCCGCUGAACUUAAGCAUAUCAA
rnacentral:misc_RNA from 1 species